rnacentral:rRNA from 1 species
AUUGAACGCUGGCGGAAUGCUUUACACAUGCAAGUCGAGCGGCAGCACGGGGGCAACCCUGGUGGCGAGCGGCGAACGGGUGAGUAAUACAUCGGAACAUGCCCAGUCGUGGGGGAUAACACUUCGAAAGAAGUGCUAAUACCGCAUACGUCCUGAGGGAGAAAGCGGGGGAUCUUCGGACCUCGCGCGAUUGGAGUGGCCGAUGUCAGAUUAGCUAGUGGGUGGGGUAAAGGCCUACCAAGGCAACGAUCUGUAGCUGGUCUGAGAGGAUGAUCAGACACACUGGGAAUGAGACACGGCCCGGACUCCUACGGGAGGCAGCAGUGGGGAAUUUUGGACAAGGGGGGCAACCAUGAUCCAGCCAUUCCGCGUGAGUGAAGAAGGCCUUCGGGUUGUAAAGCUCUUUCGGCAGGAACGAAACGGCGAGCUCUAACAUAGCUUGCUAAUGACGGUACCUGAAGAAGAAGCACCGGCUAACUACGUGCCAGCAGCCGCCGUAACAC